CAGGAUGAACGCUGGCGGCGUGCCUAACACAUGCAAGUCGAACGGAACUUAUUGAAACCUAGUGAUAUAAGUUUAGUGGCGGACGGGUGAGUAACGCGUGGGUAACCUGCCGUAUGCAGGGGGAUAACAGUUAGAAAUGACUGCUAAUACCGCAUAAGACCACAGUCUCGCAUGAGACAGGGGUAAAAACUCCGGUGGCAUACGAUGGACCCGCGUCUGAUUAGGCAGUUGGUGAGGUAACGGCCCACCAAACCUACGAUCAGUAGCCGGCCUGAGAGGGUGAACGGCCACAUUGGGACUGAGACACGGCCCAAACUCCUACGGGAGGCAGCAGUGGGGAAUAUUGCACAAUGGGCGAAAGCCUGAUGCAAGCGACGCCGCGUGAGUGAAGAAGUAUUUCGGUAUGUAAAGCUCUAUCAGCAGGGAAGAAAAUGACGGUACCUGACUAAGAAGCACCGGCUAAAUACGUGCCAGCCGCGGC
rnacentral:rRNA from 1 species